GAUGAUAUAGCUCAGUAGUAAAGCAUUUGUCUGGUAUGCAUGAGGCCCUGGCUUUAAUUCCCAGUACCACA
rnacentral:tRNA from 1 species